rnacentral:tRNA from 1 species
UGCGAAAUAGCUCAGUUGGGAGAGCGUUAGAUGAAAUCUAAAGGUCCCUGGUUCGAUCCGGGUUCGGCAG